GAGUUUGAUCCUGGCUCAGAACGAACGCUGGCGGCGCGCCUAAUACAUGCAAGUCGAACGAGAAUGUGUAGCAAUACACAUGUAAAGUGGCGAACGGGUGAGGACUACAUGGGUAACCUACCCUCGAGUGGGGGAUAACCAGCCGAAAGGUUGGCUAAUACCGCGUACGCUUCCGGGACUGCGGUUUCGGAAGGAAAGCGAUACCGUGGGUAUCGCGCUCUUGGAUGGGCUCAUGCCCUAUCAGCUUGUUGGUGAGGUAACGGCUCACCAAGGCAUCGACGGGUAGCUGAUCUGAGAGGAUGAUCAGCCACACUGGCACUGCGACACGGGCCAGACUCCUACGGGAGGCAGCAGUAAGGAAUAUUGCGCAAUGGGCGAAAGCCUGACGCAGCGACGCCGCGUGGGGGAUGAAGGUCUUCGGAUUGUAAACCCCUUUCGGGAGGGAAGAUGGGAUGGGGUAACCCAUUCGGACGGUACCUCCAGAAGCAGCCACGGCUAACUUCGUGCCAGCAGCCGCGGUAAUACGAAGGUGGCAAGCGUUGUUCGGAUUUACUGGGCGUACAGGGAGCGUAGGCGGUUGGAUAAGCCCUCCGUGAAAUCUCCAGGCUUAACCUGGAAAGUGCAGAGGGGACUGUUCAGCUAGAGGAUGGGAGAGGAGCGCGGAAUUCCCGGUGUAGCGGUGAAAUGCGUAGAGAUCGGGAGGAAGGCCGGUGGCGAAGGCGGCGCUCUGGAACAUUUCUGACGCUGAGGCUCGAAAGCGUGGGGAGCAAACAGGAUUAGAUACCCUGGUAGUCCACGCC
rnacentral:rRNA from 1 species